UACGUAGGUGGCAAGCGUUGUCCGGAUUUACUGGGCGUAAAGAGCGCGCAGGCGGUCGAUCAAGUCGAGUGUGAAAGCCCCCGGCUCAACUGGGGAGGGUCAUUCGAUACUGAUCGACUCGAAGGCAGGAGAGGGUAGUGGAAUUCCCGGUGUAGUAGUGAAAUGCGUAGAUAUCGGGAGGAACACCAGUGGCGAAGGCGACUACCUGGCCUGUUAUUGACGCUGAGGCGCGAAAGCUAGGGGAGCAAACGGG
rnacentral:rRNA from 1 species